rnacentral:rRNA from 1 species
UUGGAGGGCAAGUCUGGUGCCAGCAGCCGCGGUAAUUCCAGCUCCAAUAGCGUAUAUUAAAGUUGUUGCGGUUAAAAAGCUCGUAGUUGAAUUUCGGGAUCAGAAUAUUGGUCAUGCUUAGGUAUGUACUGGUAUUAUUGAUUUCUCCCUUCUGAAGAACCAUAAUGUCAUUAAUUUGAUGUCAUGGGGAAUCAGGACUGUUACUUUGAAAAAUUAGAGUGUUUAAAGCAGGCUUUCGCUUGAAUACAUUAGCAUGGAAUAAUGAAAUAGGACGUUUGAUUCUAUUUUGUUGGUUUCUAGGAUCGACGUAAUGAUUAAUAGGGAUAGUUGGGGGCAUUAGUAUUCAAUUGUCAGAGGUGAAAUUCUUGGAUUUAUUGAAGACUAACUACUGCGAAAGCAUUUGCCAAGGAUGUUUUCAUUAAUCAAGAACGAAAGUUAGGGGAUCGAAGACGAUCAGAUACCGUCGUAGUCUUAACCAUAAACUAUGCCGACUAGGGAUCGGAUGAUGUUAAUUUUUUAAUGACUCAUUCGGCGCCUUACGGGAAACCAAAGUGUUUGGGUUC